CAAAGUGUUGAGUCUUAGGCAGAAAAACGUGCUCAUACAAGGUAAAAUAAUGUAGAAUAAAAAGAUUAGAGGGUUUUUAAAAAAAUCAAGAAAUAUUUCUUUUUUUUUUUCAUGGCUGAACCUGCGUCUGUGCGUGACUUUAUCUGCAGAUGAAGUAGGAUUUGCUGACAUUGCAACAGCCGUUUCUGAGAAUAAUGCACAACUGAUGAGUAACCCUCCCUGGCUCUGCCAAAGUUUUCUUCGUGUUGAAAGGGAAUUGUUCCUUCCCACUUUUGCCAAAGUGCUUGCUCAUAGUGUGAUCCAUCAGGCCCACAGCAGAGAGAGACAUGGGAACACUGCCGUGUAAAACUGUUAACCAGCCUCUUUAUUUUGUGGC
ensembl:lncRNA